rnacentral:rRNA from 1 species
AGCGGCGGACGGGUGAGUAACACGUAGGCAACCUGCCUGUAAGACUGGGAUAACUCGUGGAAACGCGAGCUAAUACCGGAUAACACUUUUCAUCUCCUGAUGAGAAGUUGAAAGGCGGCUUUUGCUGUCACUUACAGAUGGGCCUGCGGCGCAUUAGCUAGUUGGUAAGGUAACGGCUUACCAAGGCGACGAUGCGUAGCCGACCUGAGAGGGUGAUCGGCCACACUGGGACUGAGACACGGCCCAGACUCCUACGGGAGGCAGCAGUAGGGAAUCUUCCGCAAUGGACGAAAGUCUGACGGAGCAACGCCGCGUGAGUGAUGAAGGUUUUCGGAUCGUAAAACUCUGUUGUUAGGGAAGAACAAGUACUAUAGUAACUGAUAGUACCUUGACGGUACCUAACCAGAAAGCCACGGCUAACUACGUGCCAGCAGCCGCGGUAAUACGUAGGUGGCAAGCGUUGUCCGGAAUUAUUGGGCGUAAAGCGCUCGCAGGCGGUUCUUUAAGUCUGAUGUGAAAUCUUACGGCUCAACCGUAAACGUGCAUUGGAAACUGGGGAACUUGAGUGCAGAAGAGGAGAGUGGAAUUCCACGUGUAGCGGUGAAAUGCGUAGAGAUGUGGAGGAACACCAGUGGCGAAGGCGACUCUCUGGUCUGUAACUGACGCUGAGGAGCGAAAGCGUGGGGAGCGAACAGGAUUAGAUACCCUGGUAGUCCACGCCGUAAACGAUGAGUGCUAGGUGUUAGGGGGUUUCCGCCCCUUAGUGCUGAAGUUAACGCAUUAAGCA